rnacentral:rRNA from 1 species
GCACAGGAAACGUGAAGGGUGCACGGUGGAUGCCUUGGCUUAGAAAGGCGAUGAAGGACGUAACUAGUCUGCGAAAAGCUUCGGGGAGGUGACUUGUAACCUUUGAUCCGGAGAUGUCCGAAUGGGGAAACCCCCUCCAAUUGGAGGACCCAUCAUUAUUAUGAUGAGGAGCGAACCUGGGGAAGUGAAACAUCUCAGUACCCAGAGGAAAAUAAAACAACAGCGAGUUGCUUUCUGUCUGUUCGAUGCUUCGAGCAGAUAGAAAGCAACUCUCGCGAUUCCCUUAGUAGCGGCGAGCGAAACGGGAACAGCCCAAACCAGUAACUUCGGUUUCUGGGGUUGUAGGGUAGAAGCGCCAUACUUGUAUGGCAAGAGUUACAAAAGACACAUAUAACGGAAGCUGCUGGGAAGCAGCGCCCUAGAGGGUAAUGGCCCCGUACGUGAAAUAUCUGUCUCUCUUGCGCUUUUAUUCCUGAGUAGUUCGAGACAUGAAUAGCUCGGAUGAAUCUGCCGGAACUAACCGGUAAGGCUAAAUACUUUCUAAGACCGAUAGUGAACUAGUACCGUGAGGGAAAGGUGAAAAGAACCCCGAAAGGGGAGUGAAAUAGAACUGAAACCGUGUACUUACAAAGGGUUAAGGUGGGCUCCGGUCCAUCUUAGCGUGCCUAUUGAAGAAUGAGCCUGCGAGUGUAUGUAUGUUGCUUGGCUAAGUCCGUUAUGGGACGAAGCCCUAGGGAAACCGAGUGUGAAUAGCGCGUCUGUAGCAUACAUACGACCCGAAGCCGGGUGAGCUUACCAUGGGCAGGGUGAAGGUUGUCGAAAGACAGCUGGAGGCCCGAACCCGUUCGUCGUACAACGCGUUGGGAUGACCUGUGGUAAGGAGUGAAAAGCUAAUCGAACCCGGUAAUAGCUGGUUCUCUCUGAAACAUCUUUUGGGAUGGCGUCGUGUGAUCCUUCUGGGGGUAGAGCACUGGAAGGGGUAAACAGGGAGAAAUCUCGUUACUCCUAUCAACCUCCGAAUACCAGAAAUUAACAGCACGGCAGUUAGACCAUGGGGGCGAAGCUCCAUCGGUCAAAAGGGGAAGAGCCCGGAUCGCCAGUUAAGGUCCCUAAAUUGAUACUGAGUACAACUUAAGGAAGUGAGAAUCCUUUGACAAUGAGGAUGUUGGCUUAGAAGCAGCCACCAUUUAAAGAUAGCGUAACAGCUCACUCAUCGAGGGUUCUUGCGCCGAAGAUAAUCGGGGUUAAGUAUCAUACCGAAACUGCGGGUUUGUGCACUUCAUUGAGGACGCGAUUCGUCGCGUCCUCAAUGAAGUGCACAAGCGGUAAGAGAGCGUUCCGUUCUGCGAUGAAGGUAAAGGGGCGACCCAUACUGGAGCGUACGGAAGUGAGAAUGCAGGUACAAGUAACCACAAUGCGGGUGAGAACCCCGCACGUCGAAAGAUCAAGGUUUCCUCAGCUAUGGUGAUCAACUGAGGGUUAGUCGGGCCUAAGGGGAUGGUGAGAACCGCACCCGAUGGACACAGGGUUAAUAUUCCCUGACCGAUCAUAUAUGCGAUGGAGUGACGGACGGCUGUACGUAGUGCCCAUUAUUGGAUUUGGGUCAGUGCCGUGAGGAGGUGUCUUAGGUAAAUCCGGGAUGCACUACUCCGAGCGGAAAGGCAAUGUUCUUCUACGGAGGGACAGAGACUACGGAGCGCGGUUCCAAGAAAAACUUCUAAGCUUCAGUAUAUGACGACCGUACCGCAAACCGACACAGGUGAUCUGGUCGAGAAGACUAAGACGAACGAGUGAGAGGUCCUCAAGGAACUCGGCAAAAAAGCGGCCGUAAGUUAGCGAUAAGGCCUGCCCCUCGCAAGAGGGGCCGCAGCGAAAGAUUUUCUGGCAACUGUUUACCAAAAACACAGCUCCCUGCGAACUCGUAAGAGGAUGUAUAGGGGGUGACACCUGACCAAUGCCGGAAGGUCAAGCAGGGACGGUCCUACGAUUUCGAUUGUAUGGCUAGGCCCUAUAAGCCCCGGUGAAUGUCGGCGAUAACUAUAAUCGUCCUAAGGUUCUGCAUAUGACUUCGGUCGUAUGCAGAACGGAUUGGGGCGGUUAUAGGAUAGGUAAACGGUUCUGAAAGGAAUACAUCAUUCAAAAGCUACCUCUUUGGAUUGAAAGGUCCAUUGAAUCCGCGACUCAAAUGAGAGGCCAUACGUCGCGCCCCAGAAAUGGGUGAAGAUAUGGUCCUUCUGUGAGGAAUAGAAGAGCGUAAUUCCUUGUCUGGUAAGUUCAGACGUGCACGAAUGGUGUAAUGACUGGAAAACUGUCUCGAGGACUCGCUCGGUGAAAAUGCAAUACCGGUGAAGAUGCCGGUUACCUGUAGUUAGACGAAAAGACCCCAGGAGCUUUACUACAGCUUCAUAUUGAGGCUGCGUGGUGCAUGCGUAGAAUAGGUGGGAGGCUUUGAAGCGAUCCUUUCGGGGGUCGUGGAGCCGACAGUGAAAUACCACUCUUGCAUUGUGCAGUCUCUAACCUACAUAAGAACUAUGUGGGGACCGUGUGUGGCGGGUAGUUUUGGUGGGGCGCUAUCCUUAACAUUAAGCGCCCAUCCGACCAAUAAUAGAAACAGGAAAAUUAAAAUAUGGGGGACUGUAGUGAGUAAUCAUUACAAGCAAUUUGGCUAAAUGCUGGAACACCCGAGUAUCUUCAAGUACUCGCUCACAUCUAGGUGAGCAGUGAAAAUCUUGAAGUGCGGACAAUCAGCAGGGAAGGCUCGGCUAAAACUGAGAACCCUCAGAGACUACACGCCAGACCCUUGCGAAAGCGAGGUGAAGAUAUAGUCCGAUCUGCAUGGCGACAUGCAGGUGUACUAAGUUACGUACACAUCCAUAUGAACACGAAAGAAAACCGUGAACUCAAAAAAGAUCUAAAAUUAUCCGAACGACAACGUGAGUUGGUUGUAGGUUUAUUGUUAGGUGAUGGACAUCUUGAAACACAAAAUGGUGGACGAACAUAUCGACUUAAGGUCGAACAUGGCUCCGCACAAAAAGACUACCUAAUUUGGUUAGCUCAUGAAUUUCAAGAAUGGAUUCCGUCUGGUUGGUAUGAAAAGAAGCGUGGAGAAAAACUGGUUUAUGGAUUUACUACGGUAAGUCACGAAUCAUUUCGUUUCUAUGGCGCACAAUUCUACCAGGACGGAAAGAAGAGAAUUCCACCACUAAUGAAAAAACUUAUAACUCCACUCGCACUUGCGAUAUGGUUUCUAGAUGAUGGCUCUAAAAAGUCAUCUCAACACAAAUCACUUGUAAUACAUUCGCUUGGAUAUACGAAAAAAGAUCUGGUGCUUGCACAGGAAGCCCUUAAAACUCGCUUCAAUAUAGAAAGUGCAUUACACAAGCAAAGAAAUGAAUCUUUCCGAUUGUAUUUCCCCUACGAAAGCGCGCGAAUUAUCGCCAAGUUCGUAGAGCCAAUACUUUCAGAAGUUCCAUUGUUUGCUUAUAAGUUGGAAAACAUUAAGCCUAAAAAGUAACGGAGGAGUCUAUUAAGGUUGGCUAGGCGCGAAUGGAAACCGUGCCGAUAGUGUAAGAGCAUAAGCCAGCUUAACUGCAAGACGUACUUGUCGAGCAGAUGCGAAAGCAGAGUCUAGUGAACCGAUAGUUUGCCUUAGAAGCAGCUAGAGAUUAACGGAUAAAAGUUACCCUGGGGAUAACAGGCUAGUUCCGCCCAAGCGUCCAUAGCGACGGCGGAGUUCGGCACCUCGAUGUCGGCUCACCUUAGCGCGGGGCUGGAGAAGGUCCCAAGCGUUUGGCUGUUCGCCAAUUAAAAAGGUACGCGAGCUGGGUUCAGACCGUGUAGGGAUUAAAUUGUCUUCGGACUUCUUGAUCUCUACACCGUCUGAAUCCCUUUGAGUUUUCUGUUAUCAGAACCCAAUAAAGUGAAUGUCUUUUCGUCUAAAAGAUUUGACUUGUUCGUUAGAAUUGCAGACAAGUUAAGGAACCAACCAUGAACACGGCGACGUGCGAUAGGAAUAUCGUACGUACCAUCAACUAAUAUCGGUGAAAUCCCCGCUAAGGGACAACACCGAAGGAAUUCGCAGCAAUGCGAGGCCUCUAGAGACUGAAUGUUGAUCAACGAGAACCGUUGAAGUUACAGUCCGAUCCCUUCAGCAAUGGAGGCGUGAGCAGUAAAUGCUCACACUAAAACGAAAUGCGUGAGACAGGUUGGUCUCCUAUCUACUACAGGCGUUGAUUUUUGAGGAGGGUUGCCCCUAGUACGAGAGGACCGGGGUGAACUGACCUCUGGUCUACCAGCUGUUCUGCCAAGAGCACCGCUGGGUAGCUAUGUCGGGUCGGGAUAACUGCUGAAAGCAUAUAAGCGGGAAGCCCACUCCAAGAUUAGAAAUCGUUAUGAGACACCUUGAAGAUUACGAGGUUGAUAGGCUCUAGAUGUAAGCACAGUAAUGUGUUCAGUCGAGGAGUACUAAUAUGUCCAGUUUCUUGUGCGG